rnacentral:rRNA from 1 species
UACGGAAGGGGCAAGCGUUGUUCGGAAUCAUUGGGCGUAAAGGGCGCGUAGGUGGUUCUGUAUGUCUACCGUGAAAGCAUACGGCUCAACUGUAUUUUGUCGGUAGAAACUGCAGGACUUGAGGCUGGGAGGGGCUGGUGGAAUUCCCUGUGUAGCGGUGAAAUGCGUAGAGAGUGGGGGAGAACACUCGUGGCGAAGGCGGCCAGCUAGACCAGUUCUGACACUGAGGCGCGACAGCGUGGGGAGCAAACAGG